GAUGAACGCUGGCGGCGUGCCUAAUACAUGCAAGUCGAGCGAACGGACGAGAAGCUUGCUUCUCUGAUGUUAGCGGCGGGCGGGUGAGUAACACGUGGAUAACCUACCUAUAAGACUGGGAUAACUUCGGGAAACCGGAGCUAAUACCGGAUAAUAUUUUGAACCGCAUGGUUCAAAAGUGAAAGACGGUCUUGCUGUCACUUAUAGAUGGAUCCGCGCUGCAUUAGCUAGUUGGUAAGGUAACGGCUUACCAAGGCAACGAUGCAUAGCCGACCUGAGAGGGUGAUCGGCCACACUGGAACUGAGACACGGUCCAGACUCCUACGGGAGGCAGCAGUAGGGAAUCUUCCGCAAUGGGCGAAAGCCUGACGGAGCAACGCCGCGUGAGUGAUGAAGGUCUUCGGAUCGUAAAACUCUGUUAUUAGGGAAGAACAUAUGUGUAAGUGACUGUGCACAUCUUGACGGUACCUAAUCAGAAAGCCACGGCUAACUACGUG
rnacentral:rRNA from 1 species